AGUGAACGCUGGCGGUAGGCCUAACACAUGCAAGUCGAACGGCAGCACAGUAAGAGCUUGCUCUUACGGGUGGCGAGUGGCGGACGGGUGAGGAAUACAUCGGAAUCUACUUUUUCGUGGGGGAUAACGUAGGGAAACUUACGCUAAUACCGCAUACGACCUACGGGUGAAAGCAGGGGAUCUUCGGACCUUGCGCGAUUGAAUGAGCCGAUGUCGGAUUAGCUAGUUGGCGGGGUAACGGCCCACCAAGGCGACGAUCCGUAGCUGGGCUGAGAGGAUGAUCAGCCACACUGGAACUGAGACACGGUCCAGACUCCUACGGGAGGCAGCAGUGGGGAAUAUUGGACAAUGGGCGCAAGCCUGAUCCAACCAUACCGCGUGGGUGAAGAAGGCCUUCGGGUUGUAAAGCCCUUUUGUUGGGAAAGAAAAGCAGCAGGUUAAUACCCCGCUGUUCUGACGGUACCCAAAGAAUAAGCACCGGCUAACUUCGUG
rnacentral:rRNA from 1 species